rnacentral:rRNA from 1 species
UUAGGGCAAGUCUGGUGCCAGCAGCCGCGGUAAUUCCAGCUCCAAUAGCGUAUAUUAAAGUUGUUGCAGUUAAAAAGCUCGUAGUUGAAUUUCGGGAUCAAAUUGUCGGUCGUGCCUCGGUACGUACUGGCGUUAUUGGUUCCUCCCUUCUGAAGAACCGCGAUGUCAUUAAUUUGGUGUCGCGGGGAAUCAGGACUGUUACUUUGAAAAAAUUAGAGUGUUUAAAGCAGGCUCGCGCUUGAAUACAUUAGCAUGGAAUAAUGAAAUAGGACGUUUGAUUCUAUUUUGUUGGUUUCUAGGAUCGACGUAAUGAUUAAUAGGGAUAGUUGGGGGCAUUAGUAUUCAAUUGUCAGAGGUGAAAUUCUUGGAUUUAUUGAAGACUAACUACUGCGAAAGCAUUUGCCAAGGAUGUUUUCAUUAAUCAAGAACGAAAGUUAGGGGAUCGAAGACGAUCAGAUACCGUCGUAGUCUUAACCAUAAACUAUGCCGACUAGGGAUCGGAUGAUGUUAAUUUUUUAAUGACUCAUUCGGCGCCUUACGGGAAAC